UACGUAGGGGGCAAGCGUUGUCCGGAUUUAUUGGGCGUAAAGAGCUCGUAGGCGGUCUGUCGCGUCUGCUGUGAAAACUCAGGGCUUAACCCUGAGCUUGCAGUGGGUACGGGCAGACUAGAGUGCGGUAGGGGAGACUGGAAUUCCUGGUGUAGCGGUGAAAUGCGCAGAUAUCAGGAGGAACACCGGUGGCGAAGGCGGAUCUCUGGGCCUUACCUGACGCUGAGGCGCGAAAGCUAGGGGAGCGAACAGG
rnacentral:rRNA from 1 species